rnacentral:rRNA from 1 species
GACGAACGCUAGCGAUAGGCUUAACACAUGCAAGUCGAGGGGCAGCGCGGGUAGCAAUACCUGGCGGCGACCGGCGCACGGGUGCGUAACACGUGUGCAACCUACCUUUAACUGGAGAAUAGCCCCGGGAAAUCGGGAUUAAUGUUCCAUAAAAUUAUUGAAUGGCAUCAUUUAGUAAUUAAAGCUCCGGCGGUACGGGAUGGGCAUGCGCGACAUUAGCUAGUUGGUAAGGUAACGGCUUACCAAGGCGACGAUGUUUAGGGGACCUGAGAGGGUUGUCCCCCACACUGGUACUGAGACACGGACCAGACUCCUACGGGAGGCAGCAGUGAGGAAUAUUGGUCAAUGGGCGCAAGCCUGAACCAGCCAUCCCGCGUGAAGGAAGAAUGCGCUACGCGUUGUAAACUUCUUUUCCAGGGGGAGAAUAAUCCUGUCGUGACAGGACUUGACGGUACUCUGGGAAUAAGCAUCGGCUAACUCCGUG